GUAGACCUCAGUAGCAUUUACUAGCUUCAUAAUUGCAGCCAUCCCAACUAUUAUCGUUGAUGCUGUCAGGAGAGAGUUCCAGUUGCUAGUCCCCUGCAGCCCACGAGACUAUUUACUUAUCUUUUGACUUUAUGUAUUAGACUAUGUUUUGAACUUGUAUUGUUUAGAUACUUGGAGCUUGUAUGGAUUAUAUUUGUCGA